rnacentral:sRNA from 1 species
AGUCAAGAGAGAACUCCAAGUCAGAGUGAGUAAGUUUAGAGCACAUCGCAGGUUGUCUAACCCAACACAAGGAGAAGGGCAUGGAAAUCUUUCCUGAGAGGAAAUGGCCUGAAGGAUGAAAGGACAAAAGAUAGAGGACAGAUGUAUUAUCCUCAGAGGAAAUGCCUUUUGUAGAUGUUUGGUCGUAACAGUACUGCAAGAUUGGGAAAUGAAAAGUGAUUUAACAUCUUUCCAAGUAUCAAUGUUAAACUCACCAAGAUAUCAUGGAAAUCAGGACAGUGGCAGUUGGGAUUGUGGCAAUCAAAGGGGUGGAAAGUGAAUUCUAUCUUGCAAUGAACAAGGAAGGAAAACUCUAUGCAAAGAAAGAAUGCAAUGAAGAUUGUAACUUCAAAGAACUAAUUCUGGAAAACCAUUACAAUACAUAUGCAUCAGCUAAAUGGACACACAAUGGAGGGGAAAUGUUUGUUGCCUUAAAUCAAAAGGGGAUUCCUGUAAGAGGAAAAAAAACAAAGAAAGAACAAAAAACAGCCCACUUUCUUCCUAUGGCAAUAACUUAAUUGCCUAUGGUAUAUA